UACUUUAAAGACUCGGCUGCACAACCCUCUUUAAAUCCCAAUUAAAACAAUUAUCACAUAAUCCCAUUCAUUGAACCACAAUACAUAUUUUGGCAUACAUUGUUGGUGUGGUCAUACCAACUACACUCGCAAGGUAACAUCAACAUGAAAAAACAAUUUCAUUACUUGGGGAAUUCACAACCCGUCAUUGUUCAAUUAAGCAAUAACUUUUGAAAAUACCCAACCACAAGGUUCAAUUCAAUAUCAUAAUGCAAU
rnacentral:lncRNA from 1 species